ACAGUUUGCAAGACUGAAUUGAUUGCUUCAGUGAACAGAUCUUUGUUAGAGAUAACUACAAAGCAUGAAAGCCAUUUCCUACGUGCAUGUACAAACUGGCUGCUCAGGGUGAGGGGAAGGGGGGAUGCUCUCGGGUGGAAACCAGAAGCUAGUGGUUGCUGUCAGCAGGACUGACCUAAAUAGCAUCCUGAGUAGCACUGCUGCCAGGAAAAUACAAAUGGAGCCGGUCCCUCAGUGAAGCUGAAUUGGCUGAGCCUAUCCAUGCUGAAGGGCUCUUAUCUCACAUCUUCUCUAAGGCAAAUUAUCUUCAGUGGAUCAUGACAAUAUGACAGAAGAGAGCUGACUUUGUGGCCAGUAUUGUCCUUGGAAAAGACACCUCAUCUUUCUGCACCUGCUGAUCCACCUGGCAGACCUGGGGUCUUCCCCUUCAGACAUGCUUCAGGCCUGGCAGAUUCAUCCUUCUGGGCCAUUUACAAGAUAGAAAUGGGAACUGGACAGAAGAUAACCAGAAACUGAAGAGCCUCAAGGAAGAUUAGAAGGAAGGGAUACUGCUAGGCCAUGGUCAUGUAGGGCCUAGGCAAGGAUGAAGGACCAUGAGAGAUGAGCCAAGACACAAAAAUCAGGUUGGAACUGCCCAUCUGUGACUGUAGACAGAUUUUAACUGAGCUGAUUUCCCACUGUCUGCAUACCUGUGGGGUCGCUUGACAUUUUCCCUUGAAAGUCAAUAUGUAUCUUUCCUUGACAUUGAACAGUAGCGAGAUCCUCUUCUGAAAGAUUGAGUGUAGCUAAACUACUUUUUGCCCCCUGGACGCUCCUUCUUUGCAAACUGUUUGCAAGUUCAGACGUGAGCACAAAAACACGUAUGUGCUCAGUCAUCUGUAACAAUUUCCAAAUAUUUAGUCUGCUUAUCUGUGAUCUUUUCUUCUUGUUAUAUUUCCUGUACACAGUACUAAAAAUCCUCUAGGAACUGGAGUCUUUCUGACCUGUCUCUCUCAAGCACUCUUUACUGGAAAUGGGUCACAAUUUCAAAACCUGUUAAAAGUGUUAUUAUCGAGGGAAAAGAGAGAGAGAAAGAGAGAGAGAGAAAACAAAAAUUGAUCUUCAUCCCUUUGGACAACAUCUCUGGUCACACUUUUCCCAAAGAAAUUCAUUCUGACAUUAUUUAUGCCUUCAUCACUCUGAAAGUAAGAGAUGACCUAUUCAGGUACAGAAGGGCAGAAGAGUCUUAAUGUGCUUAAUGCCUAAUUUGAAUUUGUCAGGUCUCAAAGUAUCUUGGAAAAAAAGUAUGUUCUAUACCUCCAACUCUUCAGCAAACCAGUGAAAAACUUUGUAUUAGAAUAAAAAGUUGCACCUCCCAGUUGUUCUGCUCUUUUCCUCCUUUCCUUUCUUUCUUUUUUUUUUUCCACAUACUUGUCUUUGAAGGCAUCCUCUGUUCAUUUUUCUGUUCUGCUACACAAAAUUUUCAUAAGAACACAAUUAUCUCCUGCCUUAAUAUACAUUUUUUUAUAUAACGUUAAAGAUCUUAUAGUGUUAAGGAUGUGAUUAUCUGUUGGAGAGCAAGAAAUAAAAAAUGAAAUUGGCUGGAA